CUCGCAGGAGAGCAUCGAAGAUGGGUUGUCCAUCUUCAGUCGUUGGGCCCUGGAGGACAGCGAGGAAGAGUCUGAGCAGUGGAGCCCCUGGUCCCCUUGCAGCGCCACCUGUGGCAAUGCCACCCAGCAGAGGACCCGCAACUGUGGCUUCCUCUGCACUGCCACGGAGACGGCCACCUGCGACCUGCCCCCCUGCCCUGGCUCCUUGGACCUGGGGAAAAAGCAUCCACUGUCUGACAAUGUCACAGCCAUGGUGG